UGGUGGGGGGCCUCCACCACAGCUCCCAGAUGCCAGACAGCUGCAGGGAGUCAAGGGGCACAUCACACCCAGAGGCUGGCCAGACCCUAAAUUCCCUUUCCCACCAGGGUGCAGACCCCUGCCGGACUCCGCCUAGGGUCUCUGCCCUGCAAUCUCCUCUCCCCAAUCCUGAGGCUAUCCGGCAACAGGAAGCAGCAUCCCAGUCCAGCAGGGGAGAUGUGGGUAAGAGGUCGGCUUGGCCUCAGAGCAAACAAGAGGCAGCAGCAGCCACCUUCUGCAGAAUGCCUGUGCGCUGGCCACUGUGUUCAGUGGUAUCCAGCCCCUUCCACUCAGGCUUUCCAUUCCACACGCCAACCAGGAAGGCUCAGAGCAGGUAAGUCACUGCCAAAGGUCUCAUAGGGACCUGGACACAAAUCCAAGCUGUUGGAACCCGAAGUAGCUGCUUGUAACUCUGGGCUGUGCUGGGGUUGCCCUCUUGGCUUAGAAGCAGACUGUGUCUCAGAGAACAUGCUAGAAGAAUGCAGCCGGGACAGAGUAGGGACACAGUGUGGAGGCAGAAUCGCCCAGUGAGCACUGGUUGCUUCAUGACUCCCACAGGGGCCCUGAAAGCCAGCCCAGGCCAGACAGAAGCUUCAUGAGAUACCAGGAAGCCAGGGGAAGUCAUGAGGAAGCCAGGGGAGGUCAAGGGAUAUGGGGGAAGAAAAUUAGGCAGGCCUGACAGGGACAGCCAAGGGCUCCAGCUCUUCUCUGUAAUAUAUCCUGAGGCCAUAUCGAAUAUUUAUUUAUUUACUUAUUUAUUUUGGAGACAGGGUCUCCCUGUGUAGUUCAGGCUGGCCUUGAACUGGUAGCCUCAUCUGGCCUUGAACUCCUGGUGAUCCUGCUUCCUCAGCCUCCAGAGUGCUGAGAUUACAGGUAUUCACCACCAUGCCCAGCUUUCCUAUGGAAUUUUUAAAAUUCAAAAUAAACUGGGGGCAGGCUGAGGCUGUAGCUCAGUGAUAGCAUGUUUGCCUCAUAUGUGCAAAACUUUGAGUUCAAUCCCAGCACCAUAAAAAUAAACAAACUGUGUAAAAAGUAAAAAUGGUCCUAUUCACAGCACUAAAAGUAAAAGGUUGGAAAGUGACAAAGGCCAGUGGGAUUUUGUGGAUAAAUCAAAUUAUAAACUUGAUUUUUUCCUAAAAAAAAGAAAAGUGAAAGGGAUUUUUGAAAAGUGUCAACCAUCAGCCCGUGGCUGUGGAAAGCACCCGUAAAAAGGGAGACCCUAACAUAGCUGGGAUUCUCAUGUCCACAGAUGCAGCCUGGCUUGGCCUGGCAGGGACCACAGUUGACCCUGGUUCCCAGAUGGAUGGGAGCCCCUCUGUCCUCUCUGGAUCCUGGGGCACUUCCUGCUCUGACAGGGAGAGAGGAAUGUUCCCUGCCACCACAGGCACAGUGACUGCAGUGGUCAAGAGCACAAAACUGCGGUCUGCUGUCAUGUUCACGGCUAAACUAAGGUUUCUUCUAGCAGAGGUCAAAGAUUCCCACCUCCAAAGUCUUCAUCCCAGGCAACCCCAGCAUGUGCUGAGCCCUCAUGAUUCCUAAGAGCCCUGAAGACGUGAAGUAGGUCAUAGCCCUCCUUUCCUUCCAUGCCAUCUUCUUGCCUCAGGAAUAAAAUCCAGUCUCCUCGAGGGAGCUCCCGGAUCCUGUACCCGUGGGCCCCUCUCCCUGCCCCAGGCAUCUGCAGUGCCAGCCUUUCUCCCCUCUCCUCCAAAGUGGCCUUACCCCUCCACUCCUGACUCUGACCUCUCCUUACCCUGCAGGCUUCUGCUGAAGUAUCAGAGACCUGCCAGUCACAACCAGCUCCCCAGUGCUGCUUCCAGCACCCUGUGCUCCAGAGAACUUGUGUGUGAUGACUUGCGGGCCUUGUAACCCUGGAGUGACCUGUGAAGUCUCUCAAGGGCUUAAAUACCAACUCAGCACUGUGCUGGCACAAUCUCUGGGGCUCCUCCCACAAAAGGAAGGAAGAAGCCAAGGUUGCAGCAGGAGUGAAGUGAGCAGCCUCUCACUGCCAGUAUCAUACAAUAAAUUCAAUAGAGGACCAAAAAAACCUAGAGUCUGACCUUCUUGACACCACAGUGAGAGAGAGAGAGAGAGAGAGAGAGAGAGAGAGAGAGAGAGAGAGAGAUUGAUUUGACCACAACAGUCCACUGGUCUUGAUGAAUAUAGUACUAAAAGCUUUGCUUGUUUUGAGACAGGGUCUGGUCAUGUAGUUCAGGCUGACCUUGAACUCACUAUGUAACCCAGGCUGGUCUCCAAUUUGGCAGCAAUCCUCCUGCCUCAGCCUCCCAAAUCCCACCAAAUGGGAUUAUAGGCAUGCACCACCACAUCUGGCCUAAGAAAUUUUUCUGGAGUGGACUUUUUCUGUUUUUCAAGUCUUCUAUGUAUCCUAAAAAAGGAAGAGUCAAACAUUCUAACCUUUCCUUCCAGAAGAUUCAUUAAUUUCCUAACAUCUCUUGAGCGAAACAGAAAGCUUGCUCAGGGAACAAGGUCUGACUCUCAUCUCCCAAGAUUUCUUGCUGAUGUGGGGAAAAGGCCUGCCAAGAACCUUUAGGCUCUUAGGAAAUAUUUUUGAGUGGCUAAAGGCUAAAGGUUGCUUAUAAAUGAUACACUUUCUACCCUCUCCCGUGUGCCUCGCAUUCCCUCCCUUCUUCUUGCACAUAACCUCGCCUGGUAUCUCCCUAGACACUGGGACACACUGGAAUCUUCUUGGCAGAUCAGAGAUUAGAAGCAGGGAGUGUUCAAUUCUGGGUUAUAGACAGUGCUGCUUAGUUCAAAGUGUUCUCUUCUUGCUAAGUAAAAACUAGAAAGAGAAGGCGUGCUGGUGAUGACCCAGAAAGUCCACUCUAGGCUCUCUCCACCUAAAAGACUCAUACACUAGGGAGAGAGAUUAUGAGUUCAACUCUUCUGCUGCUGCUGUUGGAAAUGGAGACAGCAGGGAUGCAUGCUUCUGUCCAGGUUGCUUAUGGAGAGUGGAGACUGGGGCUGCUCUGGCCCUACUGUUGGGUUGAACCCACCAACCUGCAGUAGUGGGGGUGGCAAGGUGGGAUGGUCAGAGUCAUGGUCAGAGUUGGGGUGAGAGUGCAGAUUUCACACACAGCAUCCACAAACUUUCAGCUAUACCAAUGGUGAGGCAGUGAGAAAGGAGCAAACCCUACGUCAUUUUCAUAAAAUGUUCCCCUUCCUAUUCCUACCCAUGGGGCUGGAAGGCCACAGAGAUGUUCUCAUGGCCCGUGGGAGGAAAUGGCAUUUGGAGAAUCAUAAAGCUACAAAAAAUAGACAAGAAAUUGUAUCCGGCAAGCCCUUAUGACACUCCAUAAUAGCCUGACUGAAAAACAUCUAGAUUCUAGAUGAAGCCUUUGGGUAGAGGCGAAGCCACUUCCUCUCUCUUGCUGCACACCAGCCCCCGAAUCAGGAGUUCCUCUUUCUUACAGCCAAGGAACAACUUGUUUACUGCAAGCUAAGGGACAUUCAGGCAUUGCAAGGACGAGAGGCCAGCAUGUUGCAGCCUGUGGACACAGAACGGCUGGAUGUGGGAGUUCUGGGUCUAUCACUGUCCCCAGCUUGCGCAAAGCAGAGGUCUGGCCUUGAGAAUCGGUUUCUUCAUCUAUAAAACGGGAGCAAUGAUAAUGAAGUGGACCCAGCAUACCUGCCUGAGGAUCACAUGUACCUUUUGCUACCCGGGAGACCCUGUGCAGUGAAAGGGCGUUGCUGGUUAGGUCUUCACCACAAUCCACCCUCUCCCAAAGCACUGGACUCAAAGAACCAACCCCAGCCCAAGGUACCCAUCUCACCUGGCUCCGUACACAGGUAGGAAUAAAAGCCCUCUGACUUGAGCAUAAUGAGCAGUGAGCCCCAGCCCAGGAGGACUGCCGAGAAGAGGAGGUUUUCCAGAACAGCUGUGCAGGCCAUCCACCAGCGGCGCCGAUGGGCAGUGGCCAGGGUGGGCGCCAUGGUACGGUGCGCUGCGGUGCGGCCCGGUGGCCCGGCUCCGGCUCCGGCUUCGGCUCCCGCUCUGCAGCCACCUGCACACAGACCUAGGCGUCAGCGCGAGGGCUGCUCAACCAGUGCGGCUGCCCUAGGCCGCUGCCGCAGGGCACGAAGCCUGUCAUCCCUCCGUGGCCCAGAAGACAGGUUCGCGCAGCGAAGGAAGCGCCCUAGCCCUGCCUGAGACUCGGAUCACCCCGAGCCCUGCAGCUGCCUGGCCCCGCCGCCCUCCACUACGCUGGCGCUGUCCUGGUCAGAGACUUCUCCCGCAGUUCACUCCAAGGUAAACUGAGGCAUGGAAAGAGGAAGGGACGAAUGCAUUUUCAAGGACCUGGAACUAGUCCUGGCGUCCAGCAUGCCUGACAUAGCUAGCUCGAGUGCUGUGCAACUGGAUGCAUGGCCCACUGGGCAGAGGCGUACCUGAGAGCUGUCGUUUCCAGGGACCCCAACAGACUUCCUCCCGCCCGCACUCGAGACCCUUCCCCAGAGCUGUCUUCUUUAACCACAAGAUCAAUGCCCCGAGCCCCGGAACGGCCCGCCCAUGGCAUGCUGAUUGGCCAGAGUGCAAAGGAACUGCUACGCCAUUGGCCACUGUUUAGGUCGCUAGGCACUGUGGCCACGCGAACCCCGCGUGGGAGAGGCGAAGCCGGUUCAAACCGGCGGCGCGAGCCAACCUCACGACCCCCUUUCAGGGAUGUUACCGCAGCAAUUAGCACUUUCUUAUGGAAGCAGACCCCGGUCCCUCCA